rnacentral:rRNA from 1 species
UACGGAGGGUGCAAGCGUUAUCCGGAUUUACUGGGUUUAAAGGGUGCGCAGGCGGUUAUGUAAGUCAGUGGUGAAAUCUCUAGGCUUAACCUGGAAAUUGCCGUUGAUACUAUAUAUCUUGAAUGCUGUGGAGGUAAGCGGAAUAUGUCAUGUAGCGGUGAAAUGCUUAGAUAUGACAUAGAACACCUAUUGCGAAGGCAGCUUACUACGCAGAUAUUGACGCUCAUGCACGAAAGCGUGGGGAUCAAACAGG